CAUAAAGUAAAAUGGGGUUUAACGUCCUAUAUAUUGUAUUGGACGUUAAAUUUGUAUUAAACAACGGAGUGCUACGGUUCUGCUCAGACUAGACUAAUGAAGAUGGGCUCCCGACUAGUAUAAAGGUAAGGGAUUUAUUUACAAGCUGUUUUGGUGUAAAAGGAAGACCAAACAGGGUUGCACCAGUCAACAAGAUUUUAGUUCAACCUGCAGCUAAUCCGGUUUUUAACAGAAACAUCCUUAGAUUACAGAACUAUGAAACUUACGUCCCUACAGUGUUUCCCGUUCUGCCUAUUCAGAGACGAGCUGACAAAUUCAAACCUAGACAAGUUGAAUCUACACCAACUUUAUCACCCCGUCCAGCUUACGAAGAAACAGCCCCGCGAUUACUUCGUUCAAUGCACACAAAGUUAAGCAACUAAAAUAAGUGUUUAAAAUGUCCUUAGAGCCAUUGGAAAUGUCUCUGGGAUUCGGUGACUCAUCUUUUAAAAAACGACCAAAAGAGGCGAGAGCACCAAGAAGACUAUAGUGUCGAAAUAUGCCUUUUUGAAAAGAAAAGAUACGAAUCUGAAUGCAGUAUAUCUUAAGUAUUAAUUAUUCUUCUCUUCCGGUCAGAUGAAUCAGAGAGCCAGUAAAAAUGAAAUCAUAAUGAAAAGAUAAUAACAAUAAGGAAAUGACCUGGUAUAGAUAUCUAAGCUGCCGUUCCGAGUCCUUGUAGCGAGAUAUUUCUGGUUGUUUUUGCCUGUACUAGAUCAAAUUAACUUGUGUUUAGUACUUACGUGAUGCAAAUAGAAAAAAGGAUUAGAGAAAUAAAAACUAUGUUCGAUUAACAACAAUGGUUAUGUCGAAUCUCUACUAGCAGCUCCGCCAACCUUCCAAGUCAUCGUGCAUUUUUCCCAUAACAUUUUAAAGCAGGUUAUAUGUUGUUUCUGGAUUUGUGGUUUCUAGAUUUGCUUAACCAGCUUAGUUGUGAUGAUGUUGUUUCUGGACUUUCGUAAGCAGCUUAGAUGUGAUAAAUAAGCAUUGAUGUAGU